rnacentral:rRNA from 1 species
GAUGAACGCUGGCGGCGUGCCUAAUACAUGCAAGUCGAGCGAACAGAUGAGGAGCUUGCUCCUCUGACGUUAGCGGCGGACGGGUGAGUAACACGUGGAUAACCUACCUAUAAGACUGGGAUAACUUCGGGAAACCGGAGCUAAUACCGGAUAAUAUAUUGAACCGCAUGGUUCAAUAGUGAAAGACGGUUUUGCUGUCACUUAUAGAUGGAUCCGCGCCGCAUUAGCUAGUUGGUAAGGUAACGGCUUACCAAGGCAACGAUGCGUAGCCGACCUGAGAGGAUGAUCGGCCACACUGGAACUGAGACACGGUCCAGACUCCUACGGGAGGCAGCAGUAGGGAAUCUUCGGCAAAGGGCGAAAGCCUGACGGAGCAACGCCGCGUGAGUGAUGAAGGUCUUCGGAUCGUAAAACUCUGUUAUUAGGGAAGAACAAAUGUGUAAGUAACUAUGCACGUCUUGACGGUACCUAAUCAGAAAGCCACGGCUAACUACGUG